rnacentral:misc_RNA from 1 species
AAGUCGUAACAAGGUUUCCGUAGGUGAACCUGCGGAAGGAUCAUUACCAUAUCCAAAAAACUUUACCAACCCACCGUGUGAACUGUUUUUUUUUGGCGGGAACCAAGGGCUUUUGGAGGAAAGGACAGGGUGUUUUUGUGAUGCUCUGUGCUGGAGACCAGGUUCUUGGCUGCCGCCGAAAAAUUGAAAUUAUUUUCUCCUCUUUUUCACGAGGAGGAGAAGGUAAUGAUUAUGACAACCCCUUUGUUAAACCGACCAUUGAAAACCUGACUUAAUUUUUUCUUGAAAAACAUUUCUAGUGUUUUUGAAGAGGAAGUAAACAAAACAAACCAAUAGACAACUUACAACGGUGGAUCUCUUGGCUCGU